CCCUUAGAUGUUCUGGGCCGCACGCGCGCUACACUGACCAGUGCAACAAGCAUCCGUCCUUGGCCGACAGGCCCGGGCAAUCUUUGAACGCUGGUCGUGAUGGGGAUAGACUUUUGCAAUUUUUGGUCUUCAACGAGGAAUUCCUAGUAAACGCAAGUCAUCAACUUGCAUUGAUUACGUCCCUGCCCUUUGUACACACCGCCCGUCGCACCUACCGAUUGAAUGGUCCGGUGAAGCCUCCGGAUUGGCGCGCACCUCGGUGCCGCCGAGAAGUUGGCUAAACCUUACCAUUUAGAGGAAGGUGAAGUCGUAACA
rnacentral:rRNA from 1 species